GGGCCCGUAGCUUAGUCAGGUAGAGUACCGGGCUUUUAACCCGGGGGUCCCGGGUUCAAUUCCCGGCGGGCCCG
rnacentral:tRNA from 1 species